AUAUAGACCAGGUAAGCAGCUGUUCAGUGUACUGGCGCUACUCUGUUACCAGGGACACACUCAGCUAUACAAUAUACUGCAACACUAAGGACUUUAACGCCUUUGCCUAUUAUCCUUUCCAUACCCAUGGACUAAGGUCAGUUAGGUAGGCGGUUAUUUAGACAGAUUUACCCAUCUGUUUUUCUAUGUCCGAUUAAUACACUGUAUGCACUAGCUGGGUGUGUGAACAUAUACCUGGAUCAGAUUCAUUGUUCGUUGCUUACCAGCAAUCAACUGCCAUACCACCGCAUGCAAUUUAGUUCUGCUUUUUCUUUAUGAUUAUACUCUCCUAUCUGGUUGAAACAAUUUCCUUGUGAAUUACAAUCAGUGAUAGGCCAAUAAAAGACCGUUCGUUGAUUACCACCAACGCGGGAUACCCCUUAAUGAAAUAUCUAUGCUCCUGAGGAAGCGCUAAUUCCAUA